UGGAUACUGUCAUACAUUUAGACUCAUAAACUUUACGGUCAGAAGGAACCAUCAUGAUAAUCUAUUCUGACCUUCUGCACAUUGCAGGCUGAAGAACUUCAUCCACCCACCCCUGAAAUAGACUCUUAACCUCCGAAU